UACAGAGACUGCAAGCGUUAUUCGGAUUCAUUGUGCGUAAAGGGUGUGUAGGUGGCGCCGUAAGUCGGGUGUGAAAUUUCGGAGCUUAACUCCGAAACUGCAUUCGAUACUGCGGUGCUUGAGGACUGGAGAGGAGACUGGAAUUCAUGGUGUAGCAGUGAAAUGCGUAGAGAUCAUGAGGAAGACCAGUGGCGAAGGCGGGUCUCUGGACAGUUCCUGACACUGAGACACGAAGGCCAGGGGAGCAAACGGG
rnacentral:rRNA from 1 species